AUGUUUCUGUCUCUUCCUACGUUGACUGUCCUGAUCCCACUGGUGUCUUUGGCAGGACUGUUUUCCUCAGCCUCUGUGGAAGAGGACUUCUCUCAAGGCUGCACUAGCACCACCAGUCUGCUUUUACAGUCUGCUCUUGCCAACCACCAUACCUGUCUAUGUGUUCUUCCACCUUUGGACUUGGAUGGGUAUUAAACUCUUCAGGCAUAAUUAACGAAGCCAGAGCCAAGAUGGUACAUCUAAUGAUAUGCUUGAGUGCCUGUCUCUGAAAGCUCGUCUACAUGGAAAUACUGGAAACCGGAAAGAUGCUUUGCCUAGGUUUCUGUCAGGGGUCUAGGCCUAUGGGAGGCUUAAGCUGCAGAGGCAUCUUUACUGUACUUUGGUUCUGCCCUUGUUUUUUGAAGGUUUUCAUUUAUACCUGGGGUAUCAGAAGGAACAUUUCAACAAAGUGUCUUGUUGGAAAUGAACAGCCCCAGCCAUCACUUGAUGGCUUACCCAUUCAUAAUUAAAAGUUACUAUUUUGAAAUUUUAUGUUUAGAUUCAAAGUCUUUGGUAAUGUCACAUGUUAACGAUGACUAAUUCCAAAGGAGCUAUGUUGGAGUAGUUGUAGAGAAAUGCAUUUGAACUAAUGUGAUAUAAAACUAUAAUAAAAUGGAAACUUCAUGGACUUGCCAAAAUUCUGAGUUUUUAAAAUCACCAUCAUUUCUUUGGCAUCAAAUGCUUACAUUAAUUUUAAUAAAAUAAUAAAUAAAAAGAGAUUGACACUUGCCAUAAA